AUUGAACGCUGGCGGCAUGCUUUACACAUGCAAGUCGAACGGCAGCGCGGGCUUCGGCCUGGCGGCGAGUGGCGAACGGGUGAGUAAUGCAUCGGAACGUGCCCAGUAGUGGGGGAUAGCCCGGCGAAAGCCGGAUUAAUACCGCAUACGACCUGAGGGUGACAGCGGGGGACCGCAAGGCCUCGCGCUCUUGGAGCGGCCGAUGUCGGAUUAGCUAGUUGGUGGGGUAAAGGCUUACCAAGGCGACGAUCCGUAGCUGGUCUGAGAGGACGACCAGCCACACUGGGACUGAGACACGGCCCAGACUCCUACGGGAGGCAGCAGUGGGGAAUGUUGGACAAUGGGGGCAACCCUGAUCCAGCCAUGCCGCGUGCGGGAAGAAGGCCUUCGGGUUGUAAACCGCUUUUGUUCGGGAAGAAAUCCUCUGGGCUAAUACCCCGGGGGGAUGACGGUACCGGAAGAAUAAGCACCGGCUAACUACGUG
rnacentral:rRNA from 1 species